AAGUAAAUAACCACUAGAGAGCGCACUCGCCAAUUUCUUCUAAGAACACGACUCACCACUGCGGGCAGGGGGGGGCGACAUAAUCCGCGGCUACUAUUGGUCAGUUCACGGUCGCUACUAAAGGAUCGUACUGAUCGUAGCCUUAUAGUACGCGCAAAAUCACUAACUUUUGGCGAGCGUCGGGGCACUGUAUGCGCAGUCAAUGUGUGCAAUACUCCAUUUGUGACAAUCUUGAUAAGACUUUUCAAACAAAUAAAAUACUGCUUAAAAUAAUUAUUCUAUUAAUUAAAUAAUUUUUAUUAUUGUUUUUACAUAGAUUUUUAACCUCGUUUCAUUUUUAAACUGAGUUUUCAAAUAAAUGAACUUUAUUUAAUAGGUACUUCUUUUUAAUUUGAUACUCAUAUGUGAGCGCCAUUUUGUUUUUUUGCAUUUAGUAAUUUCCUCGAUAUGAGGUGGGAUGAAAAGUUACGUGUUGCACUCGAGUGCAAAGAUUUUUCACCUUGUGCUCUUUUGAUUCCCUCGCUAUCGCUCAGGAUUCUAAUUUUAGAAUCCUUCGCUUGCUCGGUCAUCAAAAUUGAGCCCGCGGUUAAAAAGCAACUUUGCACUCUUGUAUAACAAAUAACUAUUAUUUUCUGGUCGCCGUCGACGCUGGAUGCAGGUCGCUUCCAACAGGUAUCUGUGGAGAUCUAAGGGGGAGGCCUAUGUUCAGCAGUGGACGUCCUAUGCCUGAGAUGAUGAUGAUGGUGAGGUAA
rnacentral:lncRNA from 1 species